GACGUAGGGCGCGAGCGUUGUCCGGAUUUAUUGGGCGUAAAGAGCUCGUAGGCGGCUUGUCGCGUCGACUGUGAAAUCCCGCGGCUCAACUGCGGGUCUGCAGUCGAUACGGGCAGGCUAGAGUUCGGUAGGGGAGACUGGAAUUCCUGGUGUAGCGGUGAAAUGCGCAGAUAUCAGGAAGAACACCGAUGGCGAAGGCAGUUCUCUGGGCCGUAACUGACGCUGAGGAGCGAAAGCGUGGGGAGCGAACAGG
rnacentral:rRNA from 1 species